UACGUAGGGGGCAAGCGUUGUCCGGAUUUAUUGGGCGUAAAGAGCGUGUAGGCGGCUUGGUAGGUCUCGCGUCAAAACCUGAGGCUCAACCUCAGUUCGCGUGGGAAACCACCUAGCUAGAGUCCGGAAGAGGAGAACGGAAUUCCCAGUGUAGCGGUGAAAUGCGCAGAUAUUGGGAGGAACACCAGUGGCGAAGGCGGCUCACUGGACUGGUACUGACGCUGAGGCGCGAAAGCGUGGGGAGCAAACGGG
rnacentral:rRNA from 1 species